AUUAGCUAGUUGGUGGGGUAACGGCCUACCAAGGCGACGAUCAGUAGCCGGCCUGAGAGGGUGGACGGCCACACUGGGACUGAGACACGGCCCAGACUCCUACGGGAGGCAGCAGUGGGGAAUAUUGCGCAAUGGGGGAAACCCUGACGCAGCGACGCCGCGUGAGCGAAGAAGGCCUUAGGGUUGUAAAGCUCUGUUUUCAGGAAAGAACGUCGCGGGUAAUAAUACGAUCCGCGAAUGACGGUACCUGAAGAGGAAGCCCCGGCUAACUACGUGCCAGCAGCCGCGGUAAGACGUAGGGGGCGAGCGUUGUCCGGAAUUACUGGGCGUAAAGAGCACGUAGGCGGGACUUUAAGUCAGGUGUGAAAGACCGAGGCUCAACCUCGGGGUUGCACUUGAAACUGGAGUUCUUGAGGGCAGGAGAGGAAAGCAGAAUUCCUGGUGUAGCGGUGAAAUGCGUAGAAAUCAGGAGGAAUACCAGUGGCGAAGGCGGCUUUCUGGACUGACCCUGACGCUGAGGUGCGAAAGCGUGGGUAGCAAACAGGAUUAGAUACCCUGGUAGUCCACGCUGUAAAC
rnacentral:rRNA from 1 species